rnacentral:rRNA from 1 species
GAUGAACGCUGGCGGCGUGCCUAACACAUGCAAGUCGAACGGAGCUGCUUUGAUGAAGUUUUCGGAUGGAUUUAAAACAGCUUAGUGGCGGACGGGUGAGUAACGCGUGGGUAACCUGCCUCACACUGGGGGAUAACAGUUAGAAAUAGCUGCUAAUACCGCAUAAGCGCACGGUUCCGCAUGGAACAGUGUGAAAAACUCCGGUGGUGUGAGAUGGACCCGCGUCUGAUUAGCCAGUUGCGGGGUAACGGCCCACCAAAGCGACGAUCAGUAGCCGGCCUGAGAGGGUGAACGGCCACAUUGGGACUGAGACACGGCCCAAAACUCCUACGGGAGCAGCAGUGGGAAUAUUGCACAAUGGGGGAAACCCUGAUGCAGCGACGCCGCGUGAGUGAAGAAGUAUUCGGUAUGUAAAGCUCUAUCAGCAGGGAAGAAAGUGACGGUACCUGAAUAAGAAGCCCCGGCUAACU